rnacentral:misc_RNA from 1 species
CUCAUUUAGAGGAAGUAAAAGUCGUAACAAGGUUUCCGUAGGUGAACCUGCGGAAGGAUCAUUAACAAAUCAAUUGGUGGACAUUCACAUGUCCACUAUAUCAACCCGAACCUGUGCCUUUUAGGCCAGGCUAGGUGUGGGUAUGCCAAUUCUCCCUUUGGGAGAGGCGGCGUACUCGCGGUGAAGACGCAAGUCGGAUCCACAUAGACGCUUGUUUUUGUUUGACAGAUUUCAAUUGUAUCCAAAAUUAAAUGACAACUUUUAACAAUGGAUCUCUUGGCUCUU